rnacentral:misc_RNA from 1 species
AAGUCGUAACAAGGUUUCCGUAGGUGAACCUGCGGAAGGAUCAUUAACACGUAUCCAAACGUUAAACCCCCCCCGUGAACCUUCAUCGUGCUCUAGUGGGCCACUGAUAAACACAGCAAUUCCUGGUAAAUCAUUGUCUGAACAAGCCUUUGAGUCAGGAACCUCUGUGCAGUGCGAGCUACACCCACUAUAGAAGCGCUAGUUCCAUCGGCAUUGUUUCCCCAAGCAGGUCCCCAUGCCCCUUCCUUCUGCCGAUUUCACAUACAAAGCUCCAUUUUCAAUUAUGGAUGGGGUAAAACCGAACAACUGUUAACAAUGGAUAUCUUGGUUCUC